UACGUAGGGGGCGAGCGUUGUCCGGAUUCAUUGGGCGUAAAGAGCUCGUAGGCGGGUCGUUAAGUCAGGGGUGAAAUCCCGGAGCUCAACUCCGGAACUGCCUUUGAUACUGGCGAUCUUGAGUUCGGAAGAGAGGUGAGUGGGAACUGCGAGUGUAGAGGUGAAAUUCGUAGAUAUUCGCAAGAACACCAGUGGCGAAGGCGGAGCUCACUGGCUCGGAUAACUGACGCUGAGGUGCGAAAGCGUGGGGAGCAAACAGG
rnacentral:rRNA from 1 species